GAAUAUUAAUGGAAACAUGAUUUUUCGACAUGGUAGUUCGUCGACUUAGUAUAUUAGGGUGGUUUUAUUAUAGAAAAGUGUAUUUAGUGUCAAAAGGCUUAGCUGUAAGUACUAUGUUAACGUAAUAAACACUCAGUGAUUUUUGUAUGUUUUUAUUAUUACUGUUCCUGACCAAAUACCCCAACAACACAUGGCGAUCCUGCGAAACACAAGGCUACUAAUGAUCCUGAACAACAUACAUUGGUUAAGUAAACUAACUGAUUCAGAAAAAACAUUCUCAAUUAAGAAACAAAAUGGGAGGCAAAUCAUCAAAACAAGAAGUCCAAGACAACGGAGCCGUAAAUAAAAAUUUCAUAGUCUAGGAGGAACAAUCAAUGAAUCAAAUGACAGAGCUAAUGUACAUAAUAGUGAUCGUUCUAAUCCUGAAACUGGUAUGGUCCGUCUGGAAAACACACAGAAGAUACCUGAGGUCUAAAGGCACCAGUCGCAACCCUAAGUGUAUAAAAAAUUUAACAACGUGUCGUGAGAAGAGUACUGCCUUCUUCAGAAAAUCAGAAAUGAUGUUCCUAUGACUGAUGAUGGUAUGGUGAUGAUGGUAUCACUGCGCAUGUGUGUCAGACAGCGACAAUAACUAAUAAAAGCGUGCUAAAAAAACUGUUUUUCUAAACUUGAAAACAUUAAAUUGCAUUUGGUUUUGUGGAACGAAUUCGAAAUAAGAAUGAAUAGUGUAUAAUUGUAUAUUAAUAUACCUACUCAUUACAAUAAAAUCUCAACACCUAACCUAACCUUUUCGAUCGGGCUGAGGUAAGUAAGGAUGUAAUUAUGUUGUAGUUUAUUUUUAAUAAGAUGUCAACAAGAGUAACAGCAAAUUUCAUAAUUUUCUGAAUGACAGAAUACCUAAAUAUUUGUCAGUAAUUAUGAGAUUAGUAAAUUAUUUUACCUGUAACACACACAUUGUUUAUUUAUCCAUCUACAUCUUACUUAUCUCUGAAUUCGCGUAAAUAUGGAUGAAAUUAGAAAAUCUAUUCAUCAUCUAAUUAUUAUUAGUCUGGAUCUUUCUGUAAUUGUUACUGUUACCUGUUGUCACUAUGUUAUUAAAUUAAUGGAAUUGAAUUUCAAAUUUAUUCAUUCUGGUCAUUCUGAAAAACUAGAAGAUAAAUUUUCACUGUGGGAAGAUCACCACAAAUUAGUCCACAACAGUUGGAAAAUGGUGAAAUCUGACGAUUUUAUUCCUGAUGAACUAUCAAUUUACUUGGCAAGUUUACGACUACAGAUUGUUCAAACUCAUAACUGCUUAGAUAAUCAUCAGACGAAUCUGUCUCAGAAAGUAUUCAACAUUUAUAAUGUUAUGAAAGUUUGCAGUUUCAAGAGUAAAAUGAGUUAUUUCAUAUAAUAAGUCAUCAAACAAAUUAUAAUGUUCACAGGUAAAUUUGUUUUAUUAACAAGCUUCCUGUUUCUUCUAAAUGUUUUCCCAUUCUCAUCUUUAAUGAGAUAAUAUCUCUCAUUAUAUUUUUUCACUAUCUUUCCUUCAUUCCAAGAAUUGUUUUUUUAAAACAAAACAUUUUGAAUCAUUUACAAAGGUGGCAAAUUUUUUAGCGGUUUUAUUAUACUUCUUUUGAGUUGUUUCAGAAAUGUGCUCCAAGUUUUUAUGAGAUUUUUUUGUAUUAAUAAUUGUGGGAAGAAGUUUUUCUAAAGUAAUAGGAAGUUCCAUCUUCACAAGGCGAUUUAAAAAUAAUUGGAUGGGAGCAUAUGCUAACUAGGUAGGUAGAAGAGUAUCUAGAUAUUCAAGUAAAUACUACGAUAGUUCAUCUAGACGUUUCAUUUUUUUAAGCAUGUUUUUAGAGAUAUUCAUCUUCUCUACAAAACUAUUUGACUUGUGAUAAAAAAGGAUAGAAAACUCCAAAUCAAAAUUCCAUGAUUUAGUAAAAUUUCUAAAUUCUAUACUGUUAUAGGGAACAUUAUCAGCAUAGAAGAUAUCAGGAACACCAAAUUUAGAAAAAAAAUCCUUACAAUGCUUAAUCAUAGUAAAAGCUGUUUUAUUUUGGGUAGGAAAAACUUUCAACCAAUGAGAGUAGCUGUCAACAAUUAUCAAAUAGCUUUUGGACUGAUAAUCAAAAGUCAGAAAAUAAUAUUUGCCAUGGUCUUUGGUGGCGUCCGUCCAUAAAUUACGUGAGGUGUUCAAGGGGGGGGAGGGGGUCAAGUUAAAUCUUUCCAGAUCUCACUUGGGGAGAGGGGGGUUUUAACAAAUAUCACGUAUUUUUUUUUUCAAUAGAAAACCUUGUAAAAUGUGUGAAAGUAAAGUUAAAUUGAAGUAAGAAAUUUUUCUAGAAUAAAAAUAUAUGCGAAAUUUUACACAAUGGUGUUUGUCGCACCAGCCCGAACUCCGCAGAGUAGCUCAAUAGGCGGUCAGAAGCAGUCUCAUAUAGUGGACCAACAUAUAUAGUAAUCCGAAGUAGUAAGCACUCGUCUUCGACUGCAACUAGUCACGCUGAAGACUUGGACACUCUCUUAACUCUUCAGCCUUUUGGUAAAUUAAUGAAAAACGAAGAUGAUAAAGUCAAGCCUGUCCUUAUUAUUUCGAACGAUGGCGGUCCCGAUGAGAACCCGCGAUAUCGGUUGUAAAAUGCGAUGAUCAGCAGUGCUGCAGUCCGCGUCGGAGUUCUUUACAUGAUCUUUUUUUAUUACCUCCAUAUCCCAUUCAAGUUAAUGGACAUCCGGCGAUUCCGGAUCCUGAACAGCAUAAUGGAAAAACAUUUGCACCAUUCUUAAUUCGCCACUGCCUGCCUAUUCAACCAUUACACACCUUCACAAGCAUGCCUUAUGAUGACCUCUAUUGUCCAAGUUUACGUCACGAUAUAGAAAAGAGAUGCUGCAAUACAUGUGGAAUCUAUUUCGCAUCUAUCACAAAAGUUGCAGAACGUCGACGUGCGGCUCAUCGUGCACGAGCUGUGCAAACACUUAAAUUGCGACCAUCGCGUAUUGUUACAAGAUGAGAGACUGAGCUUCUGUCUGCAAGCGACAACGGUUUGGAGUGGCUCAAUCACGAGUCUCCAUGGACUGAAUUAGAAUAAUCUCUUAUUAAUUUACUUUGAAGUAUUUAUUAUUUAAUUUCAUCACAGUGAUUUUAAACUAAGGCAAUAUUCUCAAAUCACAAUUGUAUACUAGUCUUUAAUAAAAGUUAUAGAGCAAA